rnacentral:rRNA from 1 species
UACGGAGGUGGCAAGCGUUGCUCGGAAUCACUGGGCGUAAAGGGCGCGUAGGCGGGGAGGUAAGUCGGGUGUGAAAUCCCUCGGCCCAACCGAGGAACUGCGCCCGAGACUGCUUCUCUUGAGUCCCGGAGAGGAAGAUGGAAUUCCCGGUGUAGCGGUGAAAUGCGCAGAUAUCAGGAGGAACACCGGUGGCGAAGGCGGGUCUCUGGGCCGAUAUUUGACGCUGAGGAGCGAAAGCGUGGGGAGCAAACAGG